GGAGUGCCGUGGCGUUGUUCGCUUGCUUUUAUAAGCCUUUGCAGCAAGCAGCCAUGGCGGCGCCUCCUCCUUCUAUUACAUUCUCAUUUCCAGUUCCCCAUGCAAUCAUGAUGAAAUCUAUGUCAAUCUUAUCCUUCAUUCUUCUUCUUUCACCUUUGUUCGCCAUGGCUAACACAUCAUUUGGUGCUGAAAAUACAGAAGGCAUAAAGUAUGAUCUUUUCCCUGAAAUCCUCAAGGAGGAAGCUGUAGGAAGACUUAAUGAGCUUGGAAAGGUAAGUGAUGCAAAUGGCUACCUAGAGAGGACCUUCCAGAGCCCUGCAUCGGUCAGAGCAGGAAAUCUUCUUCGUGCAUGGAUGGAAGAUGCAGGCUUGAAAACGUGGGUGGACCAAAUGGGCAAUGUCCAUGGUCGGGCUGAAGGAAUUAAUCCAAGUGAAAAGGCUUUGUUAAUUGGCUCUCAUUUGGAUACAGUUAUUGAUGCUGGAUUCUUUGAUGGUUCAUUGGGCAUAAUUUGUGCAAUAUCUGCAUUGAAGGCACUGAAUUCCUCUGGAAGGUUGGGUAAACUCCGGCGGCCAGUUGAGGUAAUCGCAUUUAGUGAUGAGGAGGGAGUAAGGUUUCAGUCAACCUUCUUGGGUAGUGCAGCUAUUGCUGGCAUAUUACCAGUUUCAGCGUUGCAAGUACAUGAUAAGAAUGGUGUGACAGUGCAAGGUGCUCUGAGAGCAAGUUCUAUAGAGACUACAGAAGAAAACCUUUUGCAGCUCAAAUAUGAACCAGAAUCUGUUUGGGGCUAUGUUGAGGUUCACAUUGAACAGGGACCUGUACUGGAGAAUGUCGGUCUCCCUCUUGGUUCAGUAAAAGGCAUUGCAGGGCAGACAAGAUUGAAGGUGACAGUGAAAGGCACACAAGGACAUGCAGGGACAGUACCCAUGAAUAUGCGACAGGAUCCUAUGGUUGCAGCUGCUGAACUAAUUGUAUUUCUGGAAAGUCUUUGUAAACAACCUGACUAUUAUCUGUCAUAUGAUGGUCAAUGCACAUCUUCAACAGUGGAAUCUCUUGCAGGAUCUCUGGUCUGUACUGUUGGAGAGAUAUCAACUUGGCCAAGUGCAAGUAAUGUCAUU
rnacentral:misc_RNA from 1 species